AGUCAUCUGAAGUGUUCGUAAUAAGCUUUUUAUAUUUUGACCUAACACUUUUGAUCAAGGGAGCCUAAUUGGUUUUCUUAAUAGCGCAUACGCCUCGUAAGGAGGACAUGCAAAAUAAGAAACAGGGCACCCACCUGUAUAUAGCAGGCCAAAAUGAUCUAGCACUUAAUAUUACGGCACAAUUGGAUUCUAU
rfam:Staphylococcus aureus C0673 genomic scaffold aedLz-supercont1.2, whole genome shotgun sequence.